AUUCUGGCUCAGGAUGAACGCUGGCGGCGUGCUUAACACAUGCAAGUCGAACGGGAUCCCAGGAGCUUGCUCCUGGGUGAGAGUGGCGAACGGGUGAGUAAUGCGUGACCGACCUGCCCCAUACACCGGAAUAGCUCCUGGAAACGGGUGGUAAUGCCGGAUGCUCCAGUUGGAUGCAUGUCCUUCUGGGAAAGAUUCUAUCGGUAUGGGAUGGGGUCGCGUCCUAUCAGCUUGAUGGCGGGGUAACGGCCCACCAUGGCUUCGACGGGUAGCCGGCCUGAGAGGGCGACCGGCCACAUUGGGACUGAGAUACGGCCCAGACUCCUACGGGAGGCAGCAGUGGGGAAUAUUGCACAAUGGGCGCAAGCCUGAUGCAGCGACGCCGCGUGCGGGAUGACGGCCUUCGGGUUGUAAACCGCUUUUGACUGGGAGCAAGCCCUUCGGGGUGAGUGUACCUUUCGAAUAAGCACCGGCUAACUACGUGCCAGCAGCCGCGGUAAUACGUAGGGUGCAAGCGUUAUCCGGAAUUAUUGGGCGUAAAGGGCUCGUAGGCGGUUCGUCGCGUCCGGUGUGAAAGUCCAUCGCUUAACGGUGGAUCCGCGCCGGGUACGGGCGGGCUUGAGUGCGGUAGGGGAGACUGGAAUUCCCGGUGUAACGGUGGAAUGUGUAGAUAUCGGGAAGAACACCAAUGGCGAAGGCAGGUCUCUGGGCCGUCACUGACGCUGAGGAGCGAAAGCGUGGGGAGCGAACAGGAUUAGAUACCCUGGUAGUCCACGCCGUAAACGGUGGAUGCUGGAUGUGGGGACCAUUCCACGGUCUCCGUGUCGGAGCCAACGCGUUAAGCAUCCCGCCUGGGGAGUACGGCCGCAAGGCUAAAACUCAAAGAAAUUGACGGGGGCCCGCACAAGCGGCGGAGCAUGCGGAUUAAUUCGAUGCAACGCGAAGAACCUUACCUGGGCUUGACAUGUUCCCGACAGCCGCAGAGAUGUGGUUUCCCUUCGGGGCGGGUUCACAGGUGGUGCAUGGUCGUCGUCAGCUCGUGUCGUGAGAUGUUGGGUUAAGUCCCGCAACGAGCGCAACCCU
rnacentral:rRNA from 1 species